AACACAAUUCUUUUCCUUCCAACAAGGUUGUUUCAUAUGACUUAUCAUCAAAUCAAGCCAAGUUGUAUUUGAAAAUCCACUCUUCACAGGCAUAUCCAUGUUCUUUAUGGUAGGGACUGCCCCAUCUACCACCCAUUCUUUCCCAUAGAUCACUCUUCGCACAAUUGUAUUGAUAGGAUGCUCAUCACCCCCUUUAUCCAUAUCAUGGUCACUAUCGGCAUUGAGGUCAUCAUCGCCCAUACCAUCAUCGCUUGUAGAAUUGUUAUCACUUGUAGAAUUGUCCUCCAUCAAUUCAUCCAAACAUUCCAUCUUGGAAUCCAUAUCAAUAUCCACACUGUCGUAGCCACUAUCAUCACUGGCAUCACUGAUAUCAUCACCAAUAUCAUCGUUGACAUCAUUGGCAUUGCUGGCAUCAUUGGCAUUGCUGGCAGACCACCCAGCAAAGAUAUCUUCUAUAGUUGUCCACAG
rnacentral:sRNA from 1 species